rnacentral:rRNA from 1 species
UACGUAGGGCGCGAGCGUUGUCCGGAAUUAUUGGGCGUAAAGAGCUCGUAGGCGGCCUGUCGCGUCCGCUGUGAAAUCCCGGGGCUCAACUCCGGAUCUGCGGUGGGUACGGGCAGACUAGAGUGAUGUAGGGGAGACUGGAAUUCCUGGUGUAGCGGUGAAAUGCGCAGAUAUCAGGAGGAACACCGAUGGCGAAGGCAGGUCUCUGGGCAUUAACUGACGCUGAGGAGCGAAAGCUAGGGGAGCAAACGGG